rnacentral:rRNA from 1 species
AUUCCUACGGGAGGCAGCAGUGGGGAAUUUUGGACAAUGGGGGCAACCCUGAUCCAGCCAUGCCGCGUGAGUGAAGAAGGCCUUCGGGUUGUAAAGCUCUUUCGGCCGGAACGAAAUCGUGCGGGUGAACAACCCGCGUGGAUGACGGUACCGGAAGAAGGAGCACCGGCUAACUACGUGCCAGCAGCCGCGGUAAUAAU